CCAUCUGUAUCACCAGAUGACCCUAGAAUCCUGAAUAAAGUAGCGGAUCUGACAAUGUAACGAAGUUCGAUAAAUUCAUCGAGCGGGAACAGCCAGAAGCAUGUCGUAACUCGU
rfam:Shewanella benthica KT99 1099576005628, whole genome shotgun sequence.